UCUUGCUCAGGUUUCUUUAUUUAGGUCUGUUUUUCUCCUUAAAAUUCUCUCUCUGAAUGCCUGUUUGGUUGAUAAGAAAAAGUAGGAAAAUAAAAGAGGCUUCUAUCCUCUAAGUUUUAGAACCUUGUGUUCAAUCUUUGUCUGUGGAGAAUGAAACCUCAACUAUUAUUGAGUGAUUACUCUAGCAAGUUUGGAUGAAUCAGUUGAAUUUUUAAACUUUAGUUGAUAAAAACAUGAUACUUUAAUAGAGAACUCAAUCUUUUGAAAGAAUGACUUUUUGUGGUUCAAAUUCAAUAGUUAAAGAAGUUCAUAAUGGAAUAAGAUGUGAAAUAUAUAUAUUGAAGCUGAACAAAGCAUCAAAAAUUUCUUAGCAUAUUUUACUAAGAAUUUGUUAGUCAUAGGAUUAAAGCCG
rnacentral:misc_RNA from 1 species